rnacentral:tRNA from 1 species
GCCUUGGUGGCAUAAUGGUUAUGUGCUCGGCUGCUAACCGAAAGGUUGGUGGUUUGAAUCCACCUACUGGCU